AUUCAGCUGACGAGUCCCAGAAAGGAUGAAACAUGCGUCCUGGAU
rnacentral:hammerhead_ribozyme from 1 species